UACAGAGGUGGCAAGCGUUGUUCGGAAUUACUGGGCGUAAAGGGCGCGUAGGCGGCCUACUAAGUCAGACGUGAAAUCCCCAGGCUUAACUUGGGAACUGCGUCUGAUACUGGAAGGCUUGAAUCCGGGAGAGGGAUGCGGAAUUCCAGGUGUAGCGGUGAAAUGCGUAGAUAUCUGGAGGAACACCGGUGGCGAAGGCGGCAUCCUGGACCGGCAUUGACGCUGAGGCGCGAAAGCCAGGGGAGCAAACGGG
rnacentral:rRNA from 1 species